GGUGGCUCCAUGGUAGAGCGCUUGCCUUGCAUGCAUGAAGCCCUGGGUUCGAUUCCUCAGUACCA
rnacentral:tRNA from 1 species